GCGAGGCCGAAAGGCGUAGUCGAUGGGAAACGGGUUAAUAUUCCCGUACUUGGUGUUACUGCGAAGGGGGGACGGAGAAGGCUAUGUUGGCCGGGCGACGGUUGUCCCGGUUUAAGCGUGUAGGUGUGUGUUCCAGGUAAAUCCGGUUCACUUUAACACUGAGGCGUGACGACGAGGCACUACGGUGCUGAAGCAACAAAUGCCCUGCUUCCAGGAAAAGCCUCUAAGCAUCAGGUAACAUCAAAUCGUACCCCAAACCGACACAGGUGGUCAGGUAGAGAAUACCAAGGCGCUUGAGAGAACUCGGGUGAAGGAACUAGGCAAAAUGGUGCCGUAACUUCGGGAGAAGGCACGCUGACACGUAGGUGAAGUGAUUUACUCAUGGAGCUGAAGUCAGUCGAAGAUACCAGCUGGCUGCAACUGUUUAUUAAAAACACAGCACUGUGCAAACACGAAAGUGGACGUAUACGGUGUGACGCCUGCCCGGUGCCGGAAGGUUAAUUGAUGGGGUCAGCGCAAGCGAAGCUCCUGAUCGAAGCCCCGGUAAACGGCGGCCGUAACUAUAACGGUCCUAAGGUAGCGAAAUUCCUUGUCGGGUAAGUUCCGACCUGCACGAAUGGCGUAAUGAUGGCCAGGCUGUCUCCACCCGAGACUCAGUGAAAUUGAACUCGCUGUGAAGAUGCAGUGUACCCGCGGCAAGACGGAAAGACCCCGUGAACCUUUACUAUAGCUUGACACUGAACAUUGAGCCUUGAUGUGUAGGAUAGGUGGGAGGCUUUGAAGUGUGGACGCCAGUCUGCAUGGAGCCGACCUUGAAAUACCACCCUUUAAUGUUUGAUGUUCUAACGUGGACCCGUGAUCCGGGUUGCGGACAGUGUCUGGUGGGUAGUUUGACUGGGGCGGUCUCCUCCUAAAGAGUAACGGAGGAGCACGAAGGUUGGCUAAUCCUGGUCGGACAUCAGGAGGUUAGUGCAAUGGCAUAAGCCAGCUUGACUGCGAGCGUGACGGCGCGAGCAGGUGCGAAAGCAGGUCAUAGUGAUCCGGUGGUUCUGAAUGGAAGGGCCAUCGCUCAACGGAUAAAAGGUACUCCGGGGAUAACAGGCUGAUACCGCCCAAGAGUUCAUAUCGACGGCGGUGUUUGGCACCUCGAUGUCGGCUCAUCACAUCCUGGGGCUGAAGUAGGUCCCAAGGGUAUGGCUGUUCGCCAUUUAAAGUGGUACGCGAGCUGGGUUUAGAACGUCGUGAGACAGUUCGGUCCCUAUCUGCCGUGGGCGCUGGAGAACUGAGGGGGGCUGCUCCUAGUACGAGAGGACCGGAGUGGACGCAUCACUGGUGUUCGGGUUGUCAUGCCAAUGGCACUGCCCGGUAGCUAAAUGCGGAAGAGAUAAGUGCUGAAAGCAUCUAAGCACGAAACUUGCCCCGAG
rnacentral:rRNA from 1 species